GUUGUAUGAACAUAGUUCAGGUCUUUGCUUAGGAAGAGGACAGUGUAUACGUUUAUUUAGAGCUGAGAGAGCCUGCUGUGCCUGAACAUGCCAAGUCAACAACGUGCUCCUGGGCUCUUUCCUGGUGGGAGCUACAGCUGCAUGAAGCCACUCAGUUGCACAGAGGAUGCCACAGUCCAAGGCUGGGUGUCUGACAAGAUGUGACCAGACUGUCCUGAGCUUUAAUGAUGAUGUCAAGCACUGGAAGCCCUUCUGCAGUGUUUUACCUUCAAAGAGAUGGUAUAUUUGGAAGAAAUUUCAUUUGAAUGAAAAUGUUCCAGUCUUCUUUAAUGUCACGAUGAGGAGUGUUCAUAUUAGUCAGGCAUUUCAUUAUGUUCUCUGGCUACUCUCAUUUUUUACUGUUGAGGGCAAAGACAAGUAUAAAGUAAAGUAUAAGUAAAUUACUCAGGAUUACGCAGCUUGUGGCAGAGACAGUUCUCGUGGGUCCUCAUCUGCUAUUUUGGACUCAUGACCUUCUUUCCCCUCAAACUGCUAUUUUCACUGAAAUCCUUAGUCAUCAGGUAUGACCAUUAAAAGGUUGUUAAGAACAAGGUAAAUUCUUGUUUACAUCCUGAAUUAUUUAUGAUAGAAGCUCAGGAAUUCUGCUCUGUAGGAAUUCUAAUAUGUCAUUUUUUCCCCCAAAUUAGUGUAAAAACAAAACAACAGCUUAUUUAAAAAUUUAAGUAACCAUAGAAAUGUUAGUUGGAAGGGAGGCUAAUGGUCUUCUGUCCAACCUUCUGCUUGAAGGACUGUCACCAGCACUAGAGCAGGUCAGCUGUGGCUUUCUCUACCUGAGACUGGAAAAUCUUCAGGGACAGAGGUCUUGCAUUUGGUCUGAGAUGACUGGUGAGAAACAUAGCUUGGGUACAUUCUGCUUCAGUUUCCCUUUCUUGGCUAGGCUUUAUCUUCUGUGAAUGAGAGCUACUCAAAAGUGGAGAGAUUCAGUCCAUCAAGACAGAUCAUCCCAAAUGGGGCAAUGGGAUCCCAAACUCAAACAAUCAGCCCCAAGUAUACCAGUAAAUCUCAG
rnacentral:lncRNA from 1 species